UGUGUGUGGGUGAGUGUAAACGAUAAUGAAAACCGGAAGGAAGUGUCGUUGCUGCCGAGAAAACCGGAAGUAACUUCCGCGUAGCGGAUAUGUACGUAAACCGUAUACAUAUACAUAUAUAUAUAUGUUUGUAUUUGUACGUACGCGAAUUGUAUGACGCACACGCGGAUUAAAGAGAAAGAAAAAAAAAAAAAAGAAGAAUAUACGUACGCUCGUUACAAAUCUGGAAAAAUGUGGACGCGGUGCGUAUAAGUGCACUUGGUGCGGUCGGAAAACGGCGGUAACGAUGACGAUGACACAACACAUGGGAUGUGCGAAAUCGGAGAAUUCGCGUUAUUAUUAAUACAAUUAAGUUUCGUAACGAAUCCCACGUGAUCCCGAUUAUCGCGCGUUAUCCACACGCAGUACACGUAAACGCGGUCGACGCGUCUCAGGGGAAAACAAAGAUGGCGAAGUUGCGACUGAAAAGGAAUCAGAGACAAAGUAUCCUACAGGAUACGGGAAAACUGCUGCGGGAUCGUCAUCGCCCUCGGUCGCGGUGGUGUGCGGAAAAAUUAUUUCGCGCGAAAGAAUCCGACGGAAAAGGAGCGCGAGGAUCGAACCUAACCUGAAAUGUGGUUCCGAUCGUCGCCGGUGCAGCCAACCCUGGCGCUGCUGGAAACGGAGGUGAAAAAAGAGGAGGGAAAAAGGGAGCGGGGGAGGUUAGAUCGGGGCAACGAGGGAGCGAGGGAAAAAGGGAAAAGGAUCCCGAGGGCGGCGAACGCCCUCGAAGGAAUCGCGGGUUUUUCAAAUUUCGUCGUGACGAGACGAAGAAGACGGGCGACGUUAUACGCGCGCCCCGUUCGAGAAGAGCGAAUCCAGUCGGGCUGCGCCACCACGGCAAUCAAGAACGUAAAUCAGUUAUGCGUUUAGCCACUUAGUUUGUACGCAGCGUUGCCAAGUGUGUGUGCGUAAUUUGUACGUAAGCUGUGGUAGGUACGUACGUGUGCGUGCGUCGGUCGUACGACGGGCUAUCCAACCGCGUUACUUUAUAUGGAUGAUCGUGACAGAAUGUCCAUUGGCGUCUGCGGUGUUUGCACACGCGUUACAUAAGCGGGUACAUAGGUAAAAAUCGUACGUAUACCUCAGCACGUAUAUUUACUCGCGGUACCGCACAUGCGAACACGAAUUUUAUCGGUCUUCGAAGCGAAUACGAAACGGAGGAGAAGGAGAGAAAGAGGGAGAAGAAAAAAAGGAUCGAAAAUAAGAAGAAGAAAACGAGGGGAGAGAAGAAGGAGGAGAAGGAUGCAGGUUGAAGAGGAGAGGAGAGGAGAGGAGAGAGGGGAGGAAAAGAGAAAAAUACAAAGGACAACAACGUAGGAAACAAAAGUAAAAUAAAUAUAAAUAAAUAAAUAAGAAGAAAAAUCCGUUUUACGUAUUCAACGAGCGGAUGAGAUAGGCGCGCUCGGAGCUAAGUCGCAUAUCGUUGCGUAUGUGCGUACGUAUACAUAUAUAUAUAUGUGUAUAUACUCGGUUGUACAUAGGUACAAGUACACGGUACACUCCCGUACGCGUUUACGUGACUAAGCUGUCAACUCGUUAGCGGCGGAGAAAUGAAUAGGGAAAAAACAAUCGGCGAAAAACCGAAAAAUCGAGAAAAUGGCGCGAAAGGAAAACAGAAAGGGAGGGAAAAAAAAAAAUAAUAAUAUGAAAAUGCGUCCGAUGUAGAAGAGGGACGGAGAGCGUGGGAGAGAGAAGAAACUAAAAAGGGAAAUUGGUAAAUGGAAAAAUUUAACGAUUCCAAUGUCCACAAAACUGUGUGUACUUGUGACAUUGUAUACAUAUAUAUAUAUACGGUAUGCAGGUGAGUUAAACGGAAACUGGAGACACACGUUCGGUGAUAAUAUUAUUUUUUUUCGGUAGCACCGCAUCGGCACAGCGAGUGAAUGAAUUACAUAUAUAUCUAUAUAUGGUACGUGUGUGUACAUUGCGUACAUAGGAGGUAUCCGUACAAUGUAUACGGAACGUUUGUGUGCAGUACCUUGGUAUUUUGGAAAAUUGACAAAUGAUGUAUAUGUACUUUUUUUUUUUUUUUUUUCGAAAUUAACGCUUCGCGCACCUGAUCAUAUACCCACACUCUCUGUGUAACGCACACUGUGUAUACAUAAAAUAUACAUGUGUAUACAAACCUCGUACACAUAGGUGUUACACAACGCGGUGUACAUGUCUCUCUGUACGUAUGUACAUACACCUAUGUGUAAUCAAACUUGAGAAAAAUAGAAAAAAGAAACUCUACUUACUUUUCGGCGAGGAGCAAAAAAAAAAAAAAAAUGACAAGAAAAAGAUCAACGUCCGCACCGUCGCCGUCGAAUUUCGAAUCGUGACGGAAAAAAUUAAAAUAAAAAUAAAACGGGGCGUCGUUCUUCUAUCAAUUCUUUACGUACGGUUUAUUUUCUGAAUUUUUUGCAAUUUUUAGUUUUCUCACUUUCUCCCCUGCAUUUUAUCUAACGUCGUCAAAUUAUCGAGGGUCGCUCGAUGUACGGGGGUGAGAGAGAAAAACUUCGUUUUUUCCCGUAUGACGUCAUCCGACGAGAAGAGUGAACUCUGACGAGGGGUGGAGGGGGUUAGUUGUUACAAGUAUAAAAGGGACCAUUUGACCUCACUCAUUGUUUCUAAUCCUACGAUAAAUUGAGCCUGGCAGCUGCUGUACCCGGCAAUUGAUAUAAAUUUAUACUACAAGUACAGUCAGCUGCAAAAUAAGAUAUGGCAGGGAUGUAAAGAUGAUAUUGAAGACGAUGAGGAUGAUACGAAAAUCACGGUGUUACAUCUGCAUAUGUAUGAUUGAGAAGACGUAUAUUAAAACGGAUCGAGAUGUAAUUUGUUUGCUUUUUCGCUUUUUUAUUCUUUCUUCGUUUGUUCAGUUUUUCUUUUUCUAUUCUCGUUUCACCGUGUAUAUGCCCACCACCCGUUGAGAUGCCAAAAAUAACGAAAUAAAUAAAUAAAUAAAAUCAAAACAACAACAACAACAAAAUUCUUAUCCAUCUUUUUCCUUCUUUUGGUUUUUUUUUUUUUUUUUUUUUUAAUGAACUAUAGUGACAAAAAAAUAGACGUUACACGUACACCACGUUUACAUGUACAGACAUAUGUAUAGGUAUAGUUGGGUAAACUAGAAAAAAAUGUAAAAACCGACACGUUCAGGUAUAUAGCCAUUAAUCUUACAUUACACAUAUGUAUAGGUAUGUACGAGCGAAUUACAUAACGUUGAUCUUUAAAUUUAUUGUUAGCCAAAAUGGGGGGAAUCGAUAAUAUAAUAAGAGAAAAAACGAAAAACGAGAAACGAAAAAUGAAAAAAAAAAAGGGGGAAAAAAACCGUAUGCAUUAUACGAGAAAAUAGAAACCGGUCGACGCUAUAAUAAUAAUAAUAUCGUGCCUCGAAGAAGGAAAAAAGUUUCCAUUUGCUUUUUUUUUUUUUUCCUGAACCGGCACACGUCACACGAUUAUCGGUAGACUUCUUCGAAAUUUUUUUUUUUAUCUAUUUCCCACUUACACAUAAUAAUAAUAACAGUAAUAAUAAUAAUGAUGAUGAUGAUGAUGAUAAUUUAGAAUCACCUAUUAAUAUACUAUGCGUUACAUGAAUAAUCAUGUUCCCCGAAUCGAUGAUCGAUUUUUGUCUAUACUAUAUAUAUAUAUGUUAUACGCAGCUGACGCAAUAUCACGAAAUUAUUAUUAUUAUUAUUGUUGUUAUUAUUAUUUUGGUGAUACGUGUUUUUUUCGUGAUCGGUUUUUUUCUUUGCAAAAAUUAUCACCGGAAAAAUCCGUGCAGAAAAGGGAAUUAAGAACCGCGUUGAAAAAAAAAAUAGUAGUCAAGUUGCACCUUUGGCAAAAGAAGAAGAAGAAGAAGAAGAAAAACGAAAGACA